CGAGGUGUGGCGCAGUUGGUAGCGCACUAGUUUUGGGAACUAGAUGCCGCAGGUUCGAGCCCUGUCACCUCGACCA
rnacentral:tRNA from 2 species